rnacentral:rRNA from 1 species
GACAGAGGGGGCAAGCGUUGCUCGGAAUUACUGGGCGUAAAGGGCGCGUAGGCGGGAUGGCAAGUCGGUCGUGAAAUCCCUCGGCUCAACCGAGGAACGUCGAUCGAUACUGCUGUUCUUGAGGAUUGCAGAGGAGACUGGAAUUCCCGGUGUAGCGGUGAAAUGCGUAGAGAUCGGGAGGAAGGCCGGUGGCGAAGGCGGCGCUCUGGAACAUUUCUGACGGCUGAGGCUCGAAAGCGUGGGGAGCAAACAGG